rnacentral:rRNA from 1 species
CCUACGGGAGGCAGCAGUAAGGAAUCUUCCACAAUGGACGAAAGUCUGAUGGAGCAACGCCGCGUGCAGGAUGAAGGCUUUCGGGUCGUAAACUGCUUUUAUAUGGGAAGAUUAUGACGGUACCAUAUGAAUAAGGACCGGCUAACUACGUGCCAGCAGCCGCGGUAAUACGUAGGGUCCAAGCGAUAUCCGGAAUUACUGGGCGUAAAGCGUGUGUAGGUGGAUUAAUAAGUGUGAUGCGAAAUCCGGCGGCUCAACCGUUUGGACUGUGUCGCAUACUGUUAGUCUAGAGGACGGCAGAGGUAAGUGGAAUUACGGGUGUAGCAGUGAAAUGCGUAGAUAUCCGUAGGAACACCAAUGGCGAAGGCAGCUUACUGGGCCACACCUGACACUGAGACACGAAAGCGUGGGGAGCGAACAGGAUUAGAUACCCUGGUAGUCCACGCCGUAAACGAUGCAUACUAUUAGUAUGGGAUAUCGACCCCCUGUGCUGAGAAGCUAACGCGAUAAGUAUGCCGCCUGGGGAGUACGAGCGCAAGCUUAAAACUCAAAUGAAUUGACGGCUGAGACGNGCGAGACGACACGAGGAGAGG